AGAGCGAACGCUGGCGGCAGGCCUAACACAUGCAAGUCGAGCGCCCGUAGCAAUACGGGAGCGGCAGACGGGAUAGUAACACGUGGGAACGCGCCCUUCGGUUCGGAAUAACUCAGGGAAACUUGAGCUAAUACCGGAUACGCCCUUACGGGGAAAGGUUUAUUGCCGAAGGAACGGCCCGCGUCCGAUUAGCUAGUUGGUGAGGUAAUGGCUCACCAAGGCGACGAUCGGUAGCUGGUCUGAGAGGAUGACCAGCAUCACUGGGACUGAGACACGGCCCAGACUCCUACGGGAGGCAGCAGUGGGGAAUAUUGGACAAUGGGCGCAAGCCUGAUCCAGCCAUGCCGCGUGGAUGAUGAAGGCCUUAGGGUUGUAAAGUCCUUUUAACGGGGAAGAUAAUGACGGUACCCGUAGAAUAAGCCCCGGCUAACUUCGCGCCAGCAGCCGC
rnacentral:rRNA from 1 species